rnacentral:rRNA from 2 species
UCGCUGACGAGUGGCGGACGGGUGAGUAAUGCUUGGGAACUUGCCUUUGCGAGGGGGAUAACAGUUGGAAACGACUGCUAAUACCGCAUAAUGUCUACGGACCAAACGGGGCUUAGGCUCCGGCGCAAAGAGAGGCCCAAGUGAGAUUAGCUAGUUGGUAAGGUAAAGGCUUACCAAGGCAACGAUCUCUAGCUGUUCUGAGAGGAAGAUCAGCCACACUGGAACUGAGACACGGUCCAGACUCCUACGGGAGGCAGCAGUGGGGAAUAUUGCACAAUGGGGGAAACCCUGAUGCAGCCAUGCCGCGUGUGUGAAGAAGGCCUUCGGGUUGUAAAGCACUUUCAGUUGUGAGGAAAAGUUAGUAGUUAAUACCUGCUAGCCGUGACGUUAACAACAGAAGAAGCACCGGCUAACUCCGUGCCAGCAGCCGCGGUAAUACGGAGGGUGCGAGCGUUAAUCGGAAUUACUGGGCGUAAAGCGCACGCAGGCGGUUUGUUAAGCUAGAUGUGAAAGCCCCGGGCUCAACCUGGGAUGGUCAUUUAGAACUGGCAGACUAGAGUCUUGGAGAGGGGAGUGGAAUUCCAGGUGUAGCGGUGAAAUGCGUAGAUAUCUGGAGGAACAUCAGUGGCGAAGGCGACUCCCUGGCCAAAGACUGACGCUCAUGUGCGAAAGUGUGGGUAGCGAACAGGAUUAGAUACCCUGGUAGUCCACACCGUAAACGCUGUCUACUAGCUGUUUGUGACUUUAAGCCGUGAGUAGCGAAGCUAACGCGAUAAGUAGACCGCCUGGGGAGUACGGCCGCAAGGUUAAAACUCAAAUGAAUUGACGGGGGCCCGCACAAGCGGUGGAGCAUGUGGUUUAAUUCGAUGCAACGCGAAGAACCU